AUUGAACGCUGGCGGCAGGCCUAACACAUGCAAGUCGAGCGGAGCGGCGGACGGGUGAGUAAUGCCUAUGAAUCUGCCCGGUAGUGGGGGAUAACGUCAGGAACCGGGAGCUAAUACCGCAUACUAUCAGAUUGGCCUAGGUCGGAUGAGCUAGUUGGUGGGGUAAAGGCAUACCAAGGCGACGAUCCGUACCUGGUCUGAGAGGAUGAUCAGUCACACGGGGACUGAGACACGGUCCAGACUCCUACGGGAGGCAGCAGUGGGGAAUAUUGGACAAUGGGCGAAAGCCUGAUCCAGCCAUGCCGCGUGUGUGAAGAAGGCCUUCGGAUUGUAAAGCACUUUAAGUUGGGAGGCGUUACCUACAGAAUAAGCACCGGCUAACUACGUGCCAGCAGCCGCGGUAAUUC
rnacentral:rRNA from 1 species